rnacentral:rRNA from 1 species
GAUGAACGCUGGCGGCGUGCUUAACACAUGCAAGUCGAACGGUGAAGCAGGAGCUUGCUCUUGUGGAUCAGUGGCGAACGGGUGAGUAACACGUGAGCAACCUGCCCCUGACUCUGGAAUAAGCGCUGGAAACGGCGUCUAAUACUGGAUAUGUGAUGUGACCGCAUGGUCUGCAUCUGGAAAGAAGUUCGGUUGGGGAUGGGCUCGCGGCCUAUCAGCUUGUUGGUGGGGUAAUGGCUCACCAAGGCGUCGACGGGUAGCCGGCCUGAGAGGGUGACCGGCCACACUGGGACUGAGACACGGCCCAGACUCCUACGGGAGGCAGCAGUGGGGAAUAUUGCACAAUGGGCGGAAGCCUGAUGCAGCAACGCCGCGUGAGGGAUGACGGCCUUCGGGUUGUAAACCUCUUUUAGCAGGGAAGAAGCGAAAGUGACGGUACCUGCAGAAAAAGCACCGGCUAACUACGUGCCAGCAGCCGCGGUAA